rnacentral:rRNA from 1 species
UGCGAGUCGAGAGGGGUAAGCCCUCGGCGAACUGCUCAGUAAUAUGUAGCUAACCUACCCUUAGGUCGGGGAUAACCUCGGGAAACUGAGUUCAAUACCCGAUAGGAGUUUAGAUCUGGAAUGACUAAACUCCCAAAGCUCCGGCGCCUAAGGAUGGGGCUACAUCUCAUCAGCCUGUUGGGGGUGUAACGAACCCUCAAAGCUAUAACGGGUACGGGCCGUGAGAGCGGAAGCCCGGAGAUGGAUUCUGAGACAUGAAUCCAGGUCCUACGGGACGCAGCAGGCGCGAAACCUUCGCAAUGUGCUAACGCACGACGAGGGGAUCCGAAGUGCUACAGCACUGCUGUAGCUUUUGCCGAGUCCAAACAGCUCGGCGAAUAAGGGGUGGGUAAGACAGGUGCCAGCCGCCGCGGUAAUACCUGCGCACCAAGUGGUAUCCAGUAUUAUUGGGCCUAAAGCGUCCGUAGCCGGUCUGGCAAGUCUUCGGUGAAAUUCACUAGUAAACUAGUGAGCUUGUCGGAGAUACUGCCAGACUUGGGACCGGGAGAGGGCAGGGGUACUCCUAGGGGAGGGGUAAAAUCCUAUAAUCCUAGGGGGACCACCGGUGGCGAAGGCGCCUACCUAGAACGGUUCCGACAGUGAGGAACGAAAGCUAGGGGAGCGAUCGGGAUUAGAUACCCCGGUAGUCCUAGCCGUAAACGAUGCCCGCUUGGUGUUGCAGUCUUCUCGCGAGAUUGCAGUGCCGGAAUGUAGAUGUU